UACAGAGGGUGCGAGCGUUAAUCGGAAUUACUGGGCGUAAAGCGUGCGUAGACGGUUAUUUAAGUCGGAUGUGAAAGCCCCGGGCUCAACCUGGGAAUUGCAUUCGAGACUGAAUAGCUAGGGUGCGGUAGAGGGAAGCGGAAUUUCCGGUGUAGCGGGUGAAAUGCGUAGAUAUCGGAAGGAACAUCAGUGGCGAAAGCGGCUUCCUGGACCAGCACCGACGUCAGGCACGAAAGCCGUGGGGAGCAAACAGGGA
rnacentral:rRNA from 1 species